GCAAAGAGCAGUAGCGUUGUAAAAACCUGGUUGCGUAAACUGAUUUUGCAUGUUUUUCUUUCUUAUCAGUUAUCACAGCUAAUUAAUUAGUAAUGGCGGUCUGAUAUAAUAUUCCUGUGUUUGUGUAAUAUUGAAAUGAAAUGAAUCAAUUAAAGAGAAGAGUGUUGGUGUUAGAAUUUUAUUUAAUCAAUAUUCCAAAGCAAAUGUGCUCCUUGAAAUUGAAAGAAGACGAAGAUAAAAUGAUGUUACUCUAUAUUAAAAGCAUCCUGGUGCAUCUUGUCUCGUGUGUCAGCAAUUACCAAAGACUAAACGGUGUCCAUAGUAUUUUAGCCGCCAAGCCUAAAGUAACGAUUUCGGUUAAUGAAAUGAUGAAAUUCGUUCCUAGUAUCGUUGGUAUUUGAAGGACCGUGUAUGAUAUUGAUGUUGUAUUCAAUGGGAGGUAUGAUUUUCAAAUACAUACAUAUUGCUUGAAGAAAUGUACGUAUUGUGUCAGGAAUGUCGACUGAAAAUUCCCUUACUUUUUUGUUAUCUACUUCGGUCCAAUUUAUUGCUGGAUGACAUUUUCACGUCCAAUGUUGGCUUGCCAGACAUCGAUCCUCAGAUAUGGACGUACCCAUCAGUCUAACCAUCACAAUAUUGUAUGUUUACUCCUAUACAUUGUGCAGGAAUUGGCUAUCGUUUUCCAGUUCAGCUUUAAUCCCAAAACUUUCUGUGAUGCGCCUGCAAUAUUGUUUUCAUUCAUUUCGCUGGAUCGCUGGUUAGAGAAUAUUGCCAAAGGGAAAACACCCCAAGCGUUUUCUACAUUGUUAUCAUUGAAAGCAACAGAUGCUUUGCUGUUCACGGUUGGUUCGGAUUCUGAGAUUUUGAGCGAAAAACAAAUCAAGGUAUCGCGUGUUGGAAAAGAAUCAGUCGAUGGGAAAAUCACUUACGAUACUUCGAGCUGCGACGAAUCACUUACUUAUUGCCGGAGAAUUGAUACCAGUUGAGAAGAAAAUCUGAACAAAAACUUGUUAAUCAACGUGAAUUAUAAUUCUACAGGUUGUCUAGUCAUAGUUUGCUCGAUUAAUCAAAACUGUAUGUUGUUAAUAGCGGCCACUCAUCUGGCCGAAUCAACCACCCUCGCACGAAUUGUACGUUUGGUGGAAGAAACUCGUACUUCCAAUUCCAAAGCACCUAUACAACAAUUCGUCGUUAAAAUUGUCGGCGCGAAGAAAAUUCGGUCAUGAGUGGAGACAAAAUGAUAUUCCAGUUCUUAUUCCGGUGUGCUUUGAAUGUUCUGGCGAUAGCGUGUCCUUUUCCGCUAGCUUUGGCUACUCCUAUAGCUGUCUUUGUCGGUAUCAGUGUCGGAGCAAUUAAUGGUAUGGUGCCUAACCGUUGGAAAUAGCGCACAAAGCUAUAUUGUUUUUGACAAAACUAGAACGUUAACCAACGGCUUUCCACUGGUUUCCAGAAUGUAUCUAUCUUUAGAUCUUAUUGAGUAUGUAUGUAUAUUGUCCGAUGAUGUUUACGAAACUCGAGGUAUCACGCGAAUUAUACUGACUGGUACAAGCGAAGAAUGUAUCCCGUUACUUAGAAAAUACUUACUUAGAUAAUUCUAGUGAGUUAAAGUGUUAGUUUAAUAGCAGUUCGAAGAUUUCAUUAGAAUUUUCUUCUCGAAGAUAUGUGCUUGCCAUUCGUGAAUCGAAAGUUGAAUGUGCCAAGUUAAUUUUUGGAUGGUUACUUUGACCGAGUAUCCGGGACCUGCUAUGAAAUACCAGUAUUCCGAAUGGAAUAAAUUUUAUGUUGUUGUUUCCACGGUAAUCAGAUGCUGUGAUGGAUGAAGUCAGUGCAAUCAUUUUCAGGUUCGUGGACAUGGAUUUUUUUUGUUUUUUGAUAAUUGAAUAACGAGGUCAAUGUUAUUGACAUUGUUACGUUCGGAAAAGUCGUAGCAAACGCAUCCUAUAUCAAACGAGUCAAAUAAUGAUUUAAUUACGGCGAUAUUGAGAGAAAGAUGUGACGGUAAUCGUAAUCUUUUGCAUGCCUGCGUAUCGAUGUGUGCUCCUGUUUCGAAUAAAGAUCACGAAGCCGCCGUCCGCGAAAUGGAUUUCGAUCAGACUACUACCCACAUGGAAACCAGCCACACCGAAGAACCAUUGGCUCAUAAUUACGGAUGGCCUAACGAAGCAUUCCAUUCGGCUUCCGGGGACGAAGAUAGCAUCGGUUUGAUACCGAUGCCAGGUACUGCGUCUUCCGCCAAAUCGAUGCCUAAUUUGUCCACCACGUCAGGGCCCUGCUGCGUUGAAUCCGAGCACCGGAGGACCCUACAUUACAGAUCCGACCGAACGAAGGAAUAACGCUUUGCUGAUAUUGAAGCUUUUAUGCGAAAGUACCGUGUUGCAACCUCACAUUAAAGAAUUAUUAACUGGAAAAGACGCCAAAGGCCAAACACCGUUCAUGUUGGCGGUGAAUUGACGAGCCUAUCAAGCAGCCCUAAUCUUAUUCGAUACGAUUAAACGCGUCGCGAACCAAGAAUGUUCGACGGGACCUUCCAGCAGCACCACAACAGCUCCCACUGCUUCUGUUUUGACCACCCCUGCAGCUGCCACUGCGGCUACCUCAACAUCGGCCGCUGGUGCCAGCAGUACUCCUACUGCUGCUGUAGCGAGUGGAAGUGCCGGCUCAGCUUCAACUACUACCAACGUACCGUAUUUCGAUAACUUGGAAACACCUUCUACCGCAGCGGCUGCUACUGCUGCUGCUGUAUCGUUUAGCGGAACAACGUCUCCGGUGACUGGAUUCGCCGUAGCUCCGGCUAUCACAGAAGUGGCAGCUGCCAUGACUCAGAAUACGACGGCCGAACAAAAACUCAAGAACGUCAUGAGCGCGUGGUUUUCCAAGGAAACCCUCGGGUCGACUCCGUCUGCCGGCCUAUCGACGGCGCCCUCAGCUCCGCUGCAUCGAACAAGAAAUGCGUUAGUCCGCCGGAAUGUGUGAAGAAACGAUGGGAAACGUUUCGAAGGCUCGAAUCCGGAUAAUUCACCGUUAUACGUGAUCUGUUGCAACGAUACGUGCAGUUUUACGUGGACCGGAGCCGAACAUAUUAAUCAG